AAUCACCUUUAAGUAUAAUCAAACCAAAUAGGAGUUGAUUUCAGGUGAUUUGGACAGUAUUUUUUUAGUGGUCAUGAACUGUCAAAAUUAUGUUUUUCAUAAAAUUGUAUAUUUCGUGCUCACAUGCACCCAUCACUUCCAUAGAUGUUUAGUUGUAAAAUAGUGAACGACUUCCUUUAAAUUAUCAUUAAAAUGACCAUUUGCAAUAAAUGGAUGAGUCAGAAACACGAGUCAUGUUUAGUGUGAUUAUUUAAUGUAAUACAGGAUAGCCUUAGGUAUUAUUUUGUACACAUAAAAGAAGAAAAUAUAGUAAUAUCCCAAUUACAUGUAACAUCCUGAUGCUUCUCUUUCUCAACUGUAUUCUAUUGAAGGUUUUUACUGUAUUCUAUUGAAGGUUUACUGUAUUCUAUUGAAGGUUUAUACUGUAUUCUAUUGAAGGUUUACUGUAUUCUAUUGAAGGUUUUUACUGUAUUCUAUUGAAGGUUUUUACUGUAUUCUAUUGAAGGUUUACUGUAUUCUAUUGAAGGUUUUUACUGUAUUCUAUUGAAGGUUUUUACUGUAUUCUAUUGAAGGUUUUUACUGUAUUCUAUUGAAGGUUUAUACUGUAUUCUAUUGAAGGUUUAUACUGUAUUCUAUUGAAGGUUUAUACUGUAUUCUAUUGAAGGUUUACUGUAUUCUAUUGAAGGUUUUUACUGUAUUCUAUUGAAGUAUUGUACUGUUCUAUUGAAGUAUUUGACUGUGUAUUUCUCCCUCUCGAGUCUCUAGACCAUAGAAGAAGAAAAGGUACGAGACAGGAGGACAAAAAAAAGUAUAUAUAUAUAGCCAGUAAUAUAAAAGCAAAGUGCUAAGUUAAAAUACAGGCGUUACUACAAACAAGAAAUUGAAAUAUUAAAACUACACUAUCAAUAUACAGCAGAUUAUGAUGCUGUGUAACAACAGUACACCAUGGCAAUCAGGUCUAUAAAAUAAAGCUAGAAGACACUCAAAUAUAUGGCAGGAGCUGUAAGAUAACACCAAAAGCAUAAGAAUAUGGAAUACAGCACAAAUUAUCCUGAAAUCCAGACCUGUUUUAUGCCAACAUUACAACAUUCCACAAGGAGUACAAGGAGUGGAAUGUUAGUACAAACAGACUGGUACCCAGGCUACAAAUAAUUCUGUGUACAAAACUAAAAAUCGAAAAUGUUUUGCUUUCAAAGAAAAAUGUGGUAAUAUAGAAUGCAUGACACUUUCAAAUCACGGCAAACAUUGGGCAAUCAACUACAGAUGUAGUCUCUUAAUUUGAUCACUCUUUUGUUGCUGAGAAUUUUCCUGCAAAUGCAAACUUUUUUAAAAAUGCUUCUAAAAGUUUGUCAUUUCCACUUUGAAAUUUCAGACU